CCUACGGGAGGCAGCAGUAGGGAAUUUUCGGCAAUGGGGGGAACCCUGACCGAGCAACGCCGCGUGAACGAAGAAGUUAUUCGUAAUGUAAAGUUCUUUUAACAGGGAAGAAAGAGAAAUUUGACGGUACCUGAUGAAUAAGCUCCGGCUAACUACGUGCCAGCAGCCGCGGUAAUACGUAGCGAGCGAGCGUUAUCCGGAAUUAUUGGGCGAAAAGGGUGCGUAGAUGGCAUAGUAAGUCUUUUGGAAAAAUGCUGGGCUAAACCCAGUAGGGCAAAAGAUACUGGAAAGCUAGAGUAUGACAGAGGCAGGUGGAACGAGAGGUGUAGCGGUGAAAUGCGUAAAUAUAAGUAAGAACACCAGUGGCGAAGGCGGCUUGCUGGGUCGUUACUGACAUUGAGGCACGAAAGCGUGGGGAGCAAACAGGAUUAGAUACCCGAGUAGUC
rnacentral:rRNA from 1 species